rnacentral:rRNA from 1 species
AUUGAACGCUGGCGGCAGGCCUAACACAUGCAAGUCGAACGAGCGGCGGACGGGUGAGUAAUGUCUGGGGAUCUGCCCGAUAGAGGGGGAUAACUACUGGAAACGGUGGCUAAUACCGCAUACUAUCGGAUGUGCCCAGAUGGGAUUAGCUAGUAGGUGGGGUAACGGCUCACCUAGGCGACGAUCUCUAGCUGGUCUGAGAGGAUGACCAGCCACACGUGGACUGAGACACGGUCCAGACUCCUACGGGAGGCAGCAGUGGGGAAUAUUGCACAAUGGGGGCAACCCUGAUGCAGCCAUGCCGCGUGAAUGAAGAAGGCCUUCGGGUUGUAAAGUACUUUCGGUAGCGAGGCGUUAACUACAGAAGAAGCACCGGCUAACUCCGUGCCAGCAGCCGCGGUAAUUC